GACGGAGGAUGCAAGCGUUAUCCGGAAUGAUUGGGCGUAAAGCGUCCGCAGGUGGCAGUUCAAGUCUGCUGUCAAAGACCGGGGCUUAACUUCGGAAAGGCAGUGGAAACUGAACAGCUAGAGUAUGGUAGGGGCGGAGGGAAUUCCUGGUGUAGCGGUGAAAUGCGUAGAUAUCAGGAAGAACAUCGGUGGCGAAGGCGCUCUGCUGGACCAUAACUGACACUCAGGGACGAAAGCUAGGGGAGCGAAUGGG
rnacentral:rRNA from 1 species